UUACAUAUGGAAGUCUAUGGUUACAGGUUUCUGUCUGUUUUUCAGAAUAUGUUGUUAUGUAAACUCAAACUGGUUUGGAACAAGUCAAAGCUGAGUAAAUGAUGACAGAAUUUUUGGCGGGAUAACCAGGCAUAAAAAGAAGCUUUUGCCAUCAUUGCUGUCAAGGAGGAAGAGGGAAUGCUGUCUAUCAACGAGCUAGAUGACUUAAAUGUUCGUGAAGAUGACAUGGUGAUGCCUUUAAAAUCCUGGUUCAGUGCACAAACUCUGGUUUUUAAGCUGUUUUAUGUCCUUGACAUAAACUACUUCAAGAAACUGAUUUUUUACCACCUUAAAUUAGUGAAAAAGCUAAUGUUGACCCUUAUUGAUUGAUGACAUUUGGUCUGCAUCCACAGGCCGGUUGUUUAAUACAUGAUAGCUUGUUUUGUACUUGAUAUGCUUGACUAUAAUAAAUAUUUUAUUUAAAUAAA